UUUACCAGUUUCUUUUGCUCUUUUCGUCAUUCCUAAUAUUAUUAUCAUCAUCAUUAUUAUUAUUACAUUUAUAUUUAUUCUGUUAGAAGUUAAUGUCACAUAAUUAAAUGAUGAUGAUAAUCAAGUUUGUUUGUCAGUUUAUUCAGCUUCUCACGCAGUAACAUACAAAAAAAUGGCGUUAGAAGUUUGCUGAACGAUAAAAAUUGGAGGCUUUAAGAUGUCUUGAACUCUUCUGGUGAAGUGACCCGCCAUUUGGUUAAUUGUCUUGGAUUUGAUUUGCAGAUGAUGUCUAUCAAACUUUCAUCUAUGUCUCUUUGGAUUACAUUCAGACCUUGGUUCUUGUUUACAAUCAUAAAGUGUUUUUUGCUGGAUUGAUUGAGGAAUUGGGUUUACUUUUUAUUGACUAUGGAUUGAGUUAUAAAUCACAUUUCCUUGUUAUGGAGUCACUUACAUUCACUAAUCUCAGCCAUUAACAGUUAGUCAUGGGUCGACCUGUUAUCAAUGGCUCAGUGAAACCAAUCAGACAAACCAAUUAUGUCUAAUGACUAACCAAUUAAAAAAAACUCGCACAGUUUUUUUUGGUAAAAUGCUGUUGUUGGCCAUAUUUUAAAGCAAUGAUAUCUUUUUCAUCUCAAGUCUAUCAAUAUCUCCAGUUUAUAUAUAAAAAGGUAUAUUCAUUCCGUUGGUUUGAUACGAUAAAGUGGGAAGAUCGAUGACUUUAAAGUACGUCAACUUGUUAUAAAUAAUCAGCGUGAUAAUUGCUUGUCACCUUGUCUCUUCGUUACUCUUGGUGCUCUUUCCCAGGCAUUGUCAGCAAUCUGGACCUAAAGAGUUGAUGAUUGUGAUAUCUUUCCUUGAAUGGAAACGUUAAUUGGUGUAUAUUAGGGGAAAAGCUGGUAUAAUUGGUAACUUUAUACCCCGCCACAAUCAACACCAUCAUCUUCAUCUUCACCACUAUUGACAAUUAUCUAGCAUGUUCCAUGUAUUUGAGUCCAAAGUAUACCAAAAGUGACAGUAUUGAGUUUUUCCUGUUAAAAUUGUGAAGAGUCGCUCCUAACAAUAAUAAUAAUGAUAAUCUAAUAAUUCAACAACACGGUGGAAAAUAUAAUAGGCAAAAUCUUCAAUCAACAAUAUCAAUACUCUCUUCAACAUGUCCACCCCGACUUUUCUACCCCUAAAUUAUCACCAUUAACUGUGCACAUUGUCAAUGAUGAGGAAAGGAAAAAUGAUGAGGAGAUACAAUCAAAUGAUGAUGGAAGUAACUUUUUGCUGUUCGUGAUUACUAUCAUUGAUUGCCGUUAAUUUAUUGCUCUUUUUAACGCGGAUCUAUCCUUUUCCAGUCAAUCGAGAAACAUUGAACGACUGAUAUGACUCUCAAUGUCUGUAACAUGGCUGAUAAGAGUAUGGCAUCAAUGACUCUACAAUUUCGUUGAUUUCCCGCUCAAUCGUCAUUAAUCUCGCAUUCCAACCCAACAAUUGGUUUAUGGAGCUUCAUAUCCAAUCAAAAGCUCAAUAUCAUCAAGGAAAACUCGAAAUUCUUUAAUUGAUUGGCAAUCUUUUCAGCACAUAACAAUAUGGUCAGUCAUUGAUUUGGCUUUUUAGGAUUCUACAAUGAAAUUGAUAAUUGAUUAUUAUCUUGGAAUCCAUGGUUAAAGGAUUCUGACAAAGGUUUCUCUAUCAUAUGAUUAUUAAUCUAUAAGUGAAAAACUUGAAACAAUUGAUAUUUUCUUAGUGAAUUCAUUGAGUAAUUUCCCGUUACCAUGGCCACAACUUGACUGUUUUAUUACUAUCUAAUGCAGAAUCAACUGAUCAACCAAAUCAAAUCCUUCAUGCCUGUUAAAAUCGGAUCAAUCAAGUUUCUCUGUUGAUCCCUACAAUUGCUGAAUCAAUAAAUGUUAUCAAAUUUGGAAGUAAACGAAACUUAUGUUGAA